rnacentral:misc_RNA from 1 species
UGGAAUUAGGUGCUAUAUUUUGUAGCAUUCAUCAUGGAUAAUUCUUCUUAAUCAUCCUCUUAGUUGGAACUUUGUAAUUCACCUCUCUUGUUCACAAGGUGUAGAGAAUAGAAUAGUCCACCACUUUAUAGUUCUCAAUCAUUUUUGGCUUAUAAAUUAUUUGUUGUUUAUCUGUCCCUUUAAGAUAUUGGAUUCAUGACAACUUCUUGUGUCUGAUGGGUUUUGCCUUCUUCAUUUCACCUUACUUUUGCAGCCACUGUUUCCUG